GAUUUACUCCUUCAUCUAUGGACUGAAGAAUGGAUGUUGCAUCAUGGAAACAUAGGUCUCCUUGUACGUCUGCAUCAACCUUCUUGGUGUAUUUUGUCCAAAAACUUUUGAUAGCGGGAGGACUCAAGAUGGCACUGUGAGAACAACCCAGGAUUAG
rnacentral:lncRNA from 1 species